AAGGUGACUUCAUCCCUGGUGCCGUGGAGUUUAAAAGAGCGACGAGUGCUCCCUGGCUGAGCCAAGUCUGUCUCAUCGGUGAUGACUCCAUCCAAAUUAUGCAGCCACUGCCCAGACACGCUCAGCCUUCAGAAGAAUCCUAAGUCCCCAGGCUCCUGGCCUCUGCCUUCUCUUUGUGGGAAUGCCGUUUUAAUUCUUUACCUGACUUCAGAACUUGAGAAGACCACCUUCGACCAGAAAAUGUUCUAUGGGAAUGUGCCAUUGCCGGCCAGGUGGCCUGCCUGUCUGGUGAGGAACCUGGUGGGUCCCAGACGCUCAGCGUGUUGCCCUUGCUCUUCAGUGCUGCCACUUGCCAACCUUGAGGUUCUUCUUUCAUCCAGAGAAGCCCUUUUAAUUUUCAUCACCCAAGGAAAACAGGCUGAAGAGAAAUGUGGGGAAUUAACAAAGAUUAAGGUGAGCCCCUGAGGGAUUCUUCGGAAAGCAAGACUGGGAUCAACACCGUGCUAUUAACACUCAGCCGACAGAGAGGCGGGCUAGCUUGACAUCGAGGGUGGAUGCGCCAGUGAUGGGCUUCCAGGCACCAAAGCCAGGCCUUACUCCAAAUUCUACAAGCUACUACCAACCUAUCAAGACUAUGUACUGCAGGUUCUAGAGGGCAGAUACUGCAUUUAGUUCAUAGUUGUAUCUCCAAUGCCUACGCCAUGCCUGGCACAUGGCAGGUGACGAGUAACUGUGUAUGGAGUGAAUAAAGCUCCACAGAAUCUUUCCA
rnacentral:lncRNA from 1 species